rnacentral:lncRNA from 1 species
AGCAGCGUAGCUGAACAUCUUACGGAUGGCCCAGGGCUCCAAAGGCUCGUUUCCUAAGUGAGAGAGAGCCUGGCUGAAGCUGUAUUACCAUUCAUUCUCCAGCCUCCGAAGUCUCAAAGCAUCACUUCCACCAUACUCUAACUGUCAAGACAAACACAAAGGCCCAGAAACUGCCAGACUGUCUUCUGAAGUGGCUAUAAUAUUUACACUCCCAUCAGCAGUGUAGAAGGGGUCUCACUAUGUUGUCUGGAGUGCUGUGGUGGAGUGGAGUGGCUAUUCACAGAGCCUGUUCUGCUGGGACACAGAAUCACUUGCUCCAUCUCAUACAUUGAUGAUGAUUAAUUUGUAUGUGUACCUUCCAAAAAAGAUGGUUGUGUUUGAAUGGAGGCCUUCUGGACAGGAAAAUAAUCACAUCCUUCCUGAGAUAAUGAGCACACAAUUGCCUGGAUACCUGAAGGAAUGGAGACAGCGGCAGAAAACACUGCAGAGAGGUGGAAACAUCCGUUAAUAUUUUAAAAUCCCAUUACUGCUACCAACAAUAAUAAUGGAUGCAUAGAAAUAGAUCUGGAUUAGCUGAGCUUGAAACAGUCCAUCUCACACACACACAAAAGAAUUUCAGAUACAGUGAACCCACAUGUUGAAGCUUUCUAGUAUAAUAAAAAUUUCAACUGUUCUGUUGAAUCAUCUGCCUGAUUGGAGGCUACAGAAAAGAUGUCAUCUUAGGAGUGCUUGCUCUGAGUGAGGCUCAUCUUCAAAUCUGAAUGACCACAAGGAGAUUUGAUUAUACAUGUGAACACCUCAGAAGGCACAGCCCACCCAGAAGGCAGACAGAAGAAGCUGCCAGGAAGACUGUGAAAUCUUCAUGCCCAAGGAUCCCUAAAAUUAGGAGCAACAACCACUUGGCUCAGACGGUUUAUGGAGGCAAAGGUUUGGAUGGGAUUAGAGAUUUCUAAAUGUGAGUUCGUGUCCUCUGCCAGACCACCUUACUUCCACCAUUCCUCAGCAAAUCAAGAAAAACAGGAGAAAAGACAUGCCUUUCCAUAAGUUAAAUCUAUUCUGUUUUAAUUCUAUAUUAUAUCUGCUGUACAACUUCUUUUGUUUGUAACACCAUAUUGUUGCUAGUAACUGGAAAUUAAUUUUCACAUGCCUCAGCUUAGAAAAAUAAAAAGCAGCCCUGCAUCAAUCCCAAAAAAAAAAAAAAAA